rnacentral:rRNA from 1 species
CACGCCGUAAACGAUGCAUACUAGGAAUUUGGAGAAUCGACCCUCUGAGUUUCGAAGCUAACGCGUUAAGUAUGCCGCCUGGGUAGUACGGCCGCAAGGCUAAAACUCAAAGGAAUUGACGGGGACCCGCACAAGCGGUGGAACAUGUGGUUUAAUUCGACACUAAACGAAGAACCUCACCAGGACUUGACAUCUCUGGAAUCCUUGCGAAAGCAGGGAGUGCCUUCGGGAGCCAGAAGACAGGUGC